rnacentral:rRNA from 1 species
CCUACGGGGGGCAGCAGUGAGGAAUAUUGGUCAAUGGACGAGAGUCUGAACCAGCCAAGUAGCGUGAAGGAUGACUGCCCUAUGGGUUGUAAACUUCUUUUAUAUGGGAAUAAAACGUUCCACGUGUGGGAUUUUGUAUGUACCAUAUGAAUAAGGAUCGGCUAACUCCGUGCCAGCAGCCGCGGUAAUACGGAGGAUCCGAGCGUUAUCCGGAUUUAUUGGGUUUAAAGGGAGCGUAGGUGGAUUGUUAAGUCAGUUGUGAAAGUUUGCGACUCAACCGUAAAAUUGCAGUUGAAACUGGCAGUCUUGAGUACAGUAGAGGUGGGCGGAAUUCGUGGUGUAGCGGUGAAAUGCUUAGAUAUCACGAAGAACUCCGAUUGCGAAGGCAGUUCACUGGACUGCAACUGACACUGAGGCUCGAAAGUGUGGGUAUCAAACAGGAUUAGAUACCCCUGUAGUC